UCACCGAAGUGAAGCAUCAUUGGGCGCGGUCAGUACUUGGGUGGGUGACCGCCUGGGAACACUGCGUGCCGUU